UACAGAGGUCCCAAGCGUUGUUCGGAUUCACUGGGCGUAAAGGGUGCGUAGGUGGCCAGGUAAGUUCGGUGUGAAAGCUCGGAGCUUAACUCCGAAAUGUCAUUGAAUACUAUCUGGCUGGAGGGUCGGAAGGGAGACUGGAAUUCUCGGUGUAGCAGUGAAAUGCGUAGAUAUCGAGAGGAACACCAGUGGCGAAGGCGGGUCUCUGGGCCGAUACUGACGCUGAGGAGCGAAAGCGUGGGGAGCGAACAGG
rnacentral:rRNA from 1 species